UACGUAGGGGGCGAGCGUUGUCCGGAAUGAUUGGGCGUAAAGGGCGCGUAGGCGGCCUGUUAAGUCUGGAGUGAAAGUCCUACCUUCAAGGUGGGAAUUGCUUUGGAUACUGGCGGGCUUGAGUGCAGGAGAGGUUAUCGGAAUUCCCGGUGUAGCGGUGAAAUGCGUAGAGAUCGGGAGGAACACCAGUGGCGAAGGCGGGUAACUGGACUGCAACUGACGCUCAACUGCGAAGGUGUGGGUAUCAAACAGG
rnacentral:rRNA from 1 species